CUUUGGGGUCAGGACCCAACACCUGAGAAACAGUCACCUCAUGCAUCAACCAACUGCAUCACUCAGCACUUUUGAGUCAAUUUCUAAAUCUAAAUCACUACCAUAAAGAUUGGACCCCAGCUCACAUAAACAUAAGAGGUUGACCUUAUAGACUCAGUCCAAAUGAACUGGCAGACUGUUGCUGGGGGCUAUCAGACAAUGGGUCACAUCCUUGCACUAACAUCUAGUUCACGGUUGUACAGAACAAGCCUUGGAAUUUCAUCUUCAGUGUGAACUAGCUUGGAGAGUGAAAAGUUGAGGUUACAGGAAAAGAGCUAAAGUCUGAAUAAACGAACAGAAAUAAAAACUAGCCGCAAUGGGUAGUUUUCAAGAGACACUGCUGCUGAAGCUGCUGCAUCGGGAAUUCAUAUCAGCUGAGUUGUCACUUUGUCCAGAAUAAAAGAAACAGAAGCUUAAAAGACUAUAAUAGAAACAAAUUAUCAACACCACCAUCAGCAACAAAAGGAGCAGCUAACACCUUGGCCUCAUAAAUAUACCUCUUGCCCCAAGCCAUGAAGGUUGUUAGCUCUGGUGAACUGCUAAGGGGGCACAACCUCAGGGUCCAAAAGCGGGGGUCCUCAAAUGAGACAGCACUGUCCAUGGUCCUGAAGUGUUUCCCCAGUAACGGACAGUACUAUAACAGGGUAAAGACAGCUGCAUUCUCUCUUACUGAGCUGCAUGUUUUAUUGGUUUUACUAGCCUUCCUGUGCAGUGGUGCCGAGGAUUUGCUUCACUCAUUUCCAGGCAGAGAUGUGUCUGUUGUUUCACAGCAUACAACAAUGCUACGCAACCGUGUAGGAAGAACAUCAUCUUGCUCUGAAACUGCAGGAAGAAUUUUGCAUGAGAAUCCAGAUACUUAUGUUAUUCUUUGGCAAGCGUGGCUGCUUAAUUCCCUCCAUCUCUUAAGCAAACCAUCACCAGAAUUUAUAAUGUAAGUGCUUAGAACCUUGGCUUUAUGGCUCAGCCAAAAGAGGUGACCUCCAACAGCAAAGCACCCCUUAGCACUACACCGAGGCAUCAUCACAGUACUGACUAAAAUAAAAGAGUGCCACCUACUGCCUCACCAACGCCAGUCCUUUACAAUUCUGGGUUGCAGAGAGUCCCCUCCUGAGCUAGCCCAACCCUACUGAGCUCCUGAAAUCUAACAGGAUCACAGAACAAGAUGGAAUGUUUGCACAUGACUCAAAGAGCUGGCCGUUUUUCUUAGAGCCGUUUCCUUUUAGAGAUAGCACAUCUUUCUGCAGCUCUGAAUUUCUU